UUUCCGUAGGUGAACCUGCGGAAGGAUCAUUCAUAAUAAGUGUUUUAUGGCACUUUUUUAAAUCCAUAUCCACCUUGUGUGCAAUGUCAGGGUUGAUUUUUCUCUCGAGAGGAACAACCCCAAACAUCAACUAUAUCUCAACUCUUUGUCUGAAAAAUAUUAUGAAUAAAACAAUUCAAAAUACAACUUUCAACAACGGAUCUCUUGGCUCUC
rnacentral:misc_RNA from 1 species